rnacentral:rRNA from 1 species
UACGGGUGGCGAGUGGCGGACGGGUGAGUAAAGCGUAGGAAUCUGUCCUGGAGAGUGGAAUAACCCGAGGAAACUCGGGCUAAUACCGCAUGACAUCGAGAGAUCAAAGCAGGGGACCCUUCGGGGCCUUGCGCUCUAGGAUGAGCCUACGUCGGAUUAGCUAGUUGGUGGGGGUAAACACCUACCAAGGCGACGAUCCGUAGCUGGUCUGAGAGGAUGACCAGCCACACUGGGACUGAGACACGGCCCAGACUCCUACGGGAGGCAGCAGUGGGGAAUCUUGGACAAUGGGGGAAACCCUGAUCCAGCGAUGCCGCGUGUGUGAAGAAGGCCUUCGGGUUGUAAAGCACUUUAGGUGGGGAAGAAAAGUAAUGAGCGAAUAACUGAUUGCUCUGACGGUACCCGCAGAAUAAGCACCGGCUAACUCUGUGCCAGCAGCCGCGGUAAUACAGAGGGUGCAAGCGUUAAUCAGAAUGACUGGGCGUAAAGGGCGUGUAGGUGGUUGACUAGGUUUGAUGUGAAAUCCCCGGGCUUAACCUGGGAAUUGCGUCGAAAACGGGUCGACUAGAGUGAGAUAGAGGGUUGUGGAAUUUCCGGUGUAGCGGUGAAAUGCGUAGAUAUCGGAAAGAACAUCAGUGGCGAAGGCGACAACCUGGAUCUUAACUGACACUGAGGCGCGAAGGCGUGGGGAGCAAACA